rnacentral:misc_RNA from 1 species
CCGGUCCAUCCGAAGCCCUCGCGUCCCACGCCCACGCCGUAGCGGAGAGCGAAGCCGCCUUCCUGCACCAGAUACAGAAAUUUGGCAUGGGGAUCGACGACGACGGUGCCGGCAGGAUACCUCGCGGCAUAGCGCACGCGCUGCUUGACGAAUUUCGGAUCGAUGGACUCAGCUUCGAUCGCGGGGAUGCGAACGGCGCCGUCG